rnacentral:rRNA from 1 species
GACGAACCGAGCGAACGUUGUUCGGAAUCACUGGGCUUAAAGGGCGCGUAGGCGGGUGCUCAAGUCCGUGGUGAAAUCCUCCGGCUCAACCGGAGAACUGCCUCGGAUACUGGGUGCCUCGAGGGUGGUAGGGGUAUGCGGAACUAUCGGUGGAGCGGUGAAGUGCGUUGAUAUCGAUAGGAACUCCGGUGGCGAAGGCGGCAUACUGGACCACCUCUGACGCUGAGGCGCGAAAGCCAGGGGAGCAAACGGG